AGAGUUCCAUUGAGAUAUAUACUUUGGGAAAAAAUAGCAAGGCUCGUUCUCAAGUGUCCAGUUUAACGAUAAUAGUUUGAUACGUUCUUGUAUAACAUUGGGUUAGUAAUUGUUGUACAAAAAGAUAUUCUGCACAUUGAUGUUUUUCACAACAAACAAAUAAUCUACUUUUCUCAAACGAUUAAAUAUUCCAAGCCGUUGCGACAAUGUUGAUGUUGAACGAUGCCUCUACUUUAAGGUGUUCCAAACAAGAAAUAAAUGCCAUGACCAAUCGUGUUUAGCAGACUCGAAUAAUUACGGCGUUGUGAUAAGACGAUUCAACACCCAAACGAUUGGCAAGAUCUGCAAAUUUGGUGAAGCUUUGACAACGAAAAAAUGACAAAGUCGCCGAUUCGAUUAAGCUUAAUAUAUUUUACUCAUAUUGUAUAAUAUUAUGUUGCAUGGGAAUUUUAUUUUAAACCUAUAUAAGUACAAUAAGUCUUACCCGGAAUUCAUUUGGCACAACAAAAUAAUCUCAUGUUUUUUUUAUUCGGUAACAUUAUCGAUCGCCGAUCAAGAGUAUGUUUAAUAUAAGUGAUUACAUUUUAUACUAUAACAUAAUUAUUGUAAUCUUAAUUUUACCGAUCCGUUUCUAAUAAAUCUAACUUCCAGCCUGUAAUCAUUAUGCUUUCAUUGAGAAUUUGUUUUUGCUACUAGUUUCUUGUACUACACGUUUCAACAAUUUCUUAUUGUUUAAGAUAUGAUAUUAUGUAAGAAAACACCCGUUUUGUGAUCUUUUCGGUGCGUUUUAUGUGUUUGAAUAAUUUGAUUUAAAUGUAACUCGGACGGCUGUUUUCCUUGAUACAAAAUUAUUGUAGAAUUUGUAAUUUUUUUUUUUAAAUACAAAAGAAAAUUGAAAAUUUCUUUUUGAUUUGUAAGUUGCAAUUUUGGAAAGCUAAUUAGAUGUGUUAGACAAAAAAACUAAAUUAACUUUUGAAUAAUUGGGACCCAAAAUUUUAGGACAAACACACUGUACAACCAUUAUAGUAAACCAGUAAUUGCCAUUAGACAGGUAAUACUGGACAUCACUAGGGAUAUUUUUAUUAUAUAAUGAAAAAGUAGUGCCGUCAAGUAUAAUAGUACUACUUUUUCAUAGUUCUACAUAAUAUAUUGACCUAAA